AAGUCGAGCGGAAACGAUGAUAGCUUGCUAUCAGGCGUCGAGCGGCGGACGGGUGAGUAAUGCUUGGGAAUAUGCCUUUUGGUGGGGGACAACAGUUGGAAACGACUGCUAAUACCGCAUAAUGUUUACGGACCAAAGUGGGGGACCUUCGGGCCUCAUGCCAAAAGAUUAGCCCAAGUGAGAUUAGCUAGAUGGUGGGGUAAAGGCCUACCAUGGCGACGAUCUCUAGCUGGUUUGAGAGGAUGAUCAGCCACACUGGGACUGAGACACGGCCCAGACUCCUACGGGAGGCAGCAGUGGGGAAUAUUGCACAAUGGGGGAAACCCUGAUGCAGCCAUGCCGCGUGUGUGAAGAAGGCCUUCGGGUUGUAAAGCACUUUCAGUCGUGAGGAAAGGGUGUGUAUUAAUACUACACAUCUGUGACGUUAGCGACAGAAGAAGCACCGGCUAACUCCGUGCCAGCAGCCGCGGUAAUACGGAGGGUGCGAGCGUUAAUCGGAAUUACUGGGCGUAAAGCGCGCGUAGGCGGUUUGUUAAGUCGGAUGUGAAAUCCCAGGGCUCAACCUUGGAAUGGCACCCGAUACUGGCAGGCUAGAGUACGGUAGAGGGGUGUGGAAUUUCCUGUGUAGCGGUGAAAUGCGUAGAUAUAGGAAGGAACAUCAGUGGCGAA
rnacentral:rRNA from 1 species